GACUCAGGGACUCACUCGCUCAUUCAUUCAUUCACUUGCCCAGGGAGUACUAGGAAGGCAGCCACAUGGCGGGCUGCAGAGCAGGUGCCAGGAAGCAGUGGUAAAAAGAGUCGUCAGCCUCUGCUCUCUCGGAGCUGACUGUGGCGGGGGAGACAGAUGAUAACCACCCGCGGUGGUCACAGCAAAGAUUCUGUUCUUGGAGAGGGUAAGAGCGGGAAGGCCAGGUCCUCGGGAGCCAGGAGCGGGAGCUGCAGCUCUGGCUGGAGGGCUCCUUGGGAGGUGCGCUUUCCCUAGGUCCGUGCAUCUCAGCAAACCGCCCUGUGAAGCAGGCAGCACUGUCGUUGUCCCCAUUUGACAGAUAAAGACACAGAGGCCCAGCAGCUGGACGGCUUCUCCAGGGACGAAGCGGCCGAGCCGGGGUGUGAGCCCAGCCCCUCAGCCCCUCCACUGCAGGGCUGGGCACGGGGCACCAGGAACAGGUGCCCAUCCGGAGCAGCCCGGCCGGUCCUCUCCCCCAGGAAGCCUCGGCUGCCGCCCUCGCCUGCUGCCGGCUGAGGCUGCCGUCUUGUGAAGCCAGAACCGCAGCAAGAUUCUCCUAUUAAUUUAUUGGUAUUGCUAAUUAAACAUCAU